UGGCCGCAAGCGUGGAAAAGUUUCAUAGUCUGCUCGUGUCAGCUUUUUUUAAUUACGAGGGGCAAAGCUGGCUUUCUUUUUGCUCGUCAGCUUCAUUUCAUCUCACAGUUCACUGGCUAACAAUGAGAAUACAAUCUGCUGCUGCCGUUCUGCAGGUUUCUGCUCCCAUAUCUAACGAGCCGAAUUAAGCGGUCUUUUGAAGCAGCACCUCUGAAGACGCGGUGACAAUGCUCCGUGCCUGUGACGAGAGGAGGCGCUCGGCUGUAAUGGACGCUUUAAGACUCGCCGUGACUCACUGGAUAAGUAGCUAUGGAAACAGGACAGAUGGACUGAUAAGAAGAGGAGUUUUAAGACCUUGUUCAAACUGUCAUGCAUAAUCCGUGCAGCAAACACCGAGACCGGCAGCCGGUACUGGGUUCCAGUAUGGGAACCUGCACGCCAUGCCCUGCAGGACACCGAACGUCUGUGGUGACCUCUCCGAAACCAGGCACACACCAGACUUACAAGAUUUUUACAGACAAUCCAUCAUCCAUGCAUUCUGUUUACUUUACUAUAUUUUUAUAUAUUUUCAUUAUGUUUCAUUUUCAUGCUCUCCACGCUUCACUUGACUUACAUGGGAACCGUAAUUUAAAGCAGGUGCAAAGUGCGUGUCUAAGAAUUGAUAAACACGAGCAGCUUUCUGUCGAAAUAUGACACCUUUUUAAUGGGUAAAUUUAUUAUACAGUUUUUGAUAAGACAAAAAUUCAGGUAUGAUACCUCAGUUGUAUUGACUGUCAUCUAUGUAAACCAGGGUAACAGUUUGAUGUAGUUCAGCCUGGUAGUGCAGGGGUUAAAAACCACAUGGGCAUUUGGGCAGGUUCAAAGAGAGCUCAACUCUCCUGUAUCCUUGACCAAGCGGAUCAGAACCUAAAUAAUUUAUAUUUUGAACAUUUCCCAUAAAACAAGUAAACGUAACAGAUGAUUACUGUGCAUUGAACCCCCCCCCCCCCAGUCUAAAACAUGCUGAAGUCAAUUGCCCACAUUUUUGAGUGUGCCCUGCAAAGGGUUGGUGUCCCAUCCUGACUUGUUCCCCCUGCCUUGUGCCUGUAGCCUCUGGGAUAGGCUCCAGACCCCUGUGACACCGAAUAGGACAAGAAAGUGGAUGGAUGGACUUGGGUAAUUCCUAAUCUUCUAUUCUCUACCCUGCAUGGUCAGGGAGACAGCCAUGGUUCUAGGUAAAGCUUACUGAAAAGUUCUCUCACAAUUUCAGGUACCAAUGAUUAGCAGCCACUGCUACUUUCUGUUGUCACGGGGAAUGUCUAUAUUUUUUCCAUCUAUGCUUUCGCAAUUUGGAAGCCUGGACCAAUCUGAGUCUGCAGAGCUGCUCACCAGACAAAAGAGGCAAAAAUAAAGAGCCUUGGAUGCGUGGGACAGAA